GAAAGAGAGAGGCAGUGCGCCCUGGCGUCCCGGCUGGACUUGACGAUGGUCUUCACCUCAUCGGUGUGGAAGAAGUAACUCCAAAGCGCCAAGCUGAUGCACAGCAGGAAAAGCGUCUCGGGUCUCAGCAAGAAGUAGCGCAUGAUGCGACCCAGCAGAGACAGCAAAGUCAUUGUAUCCUCUAUCAUUUAUUAUCGCUAGAGCCCCAACGACCAGCAGCUACGCGCGCCCCGAAGCUCGCCGGGUCCCGGAGCACUGCGGGGACAGCCCGCGGGGAGGGAGGCGGAGCAGCGCCCGGGGUUUGGGGGAGGAAACUCACCGAGCCGGGCGGGAGGCGGACGAGCAGGCUGCUCCGAACCGGCAGCGCGAGCAGAGGCAGUUUCCCUUUUGUCUCCCCGCCUCAGCGGCCCAGAGGCCCGUCCCUGCCGCUCGCGCCGCCUCGCCUCUCUUCCUCGAGCCCCUUUGUGAGCGGCAGCGGCGGCGGCAGCAGCAGCAGCAGCCGCAGCAGCAACCCCGGGUGCCCGGGUGGAGCGAGAGGAAUCAAGUUAAAGUUGUGCCGGGCGGGUCCGCCGCGGUGAGCGGGAGAGUUCGGGGGCGCCGGCGCCCGCGCCGCCCCUCCGGGGGUGCCCCCUCGCGGCUCUGGGGAGCGAUCAGCAGGAAGAAGAGUGCUGAUCUGCUUUUUCCAGCCCUCUGGACUGGAGCUAGAGGCUGCCUGAUCCCAGCAAAGACAGUGUCUGUACCCCUCAAGCACUCUGUCUUGGUAUGAUCCUGAUUGCUUUUUUAAAACUAAAUAAAAAGUACUGAAAGGAAAUACA